rnacentral:miRNA from 1 species
GAACAUCCUGCAUGGUGCUGCC